UACGUAGGUGACAAGCGUUAUCCGGAAUUAUUGGGCGUAAAGAGCUCGUAGGCGGUUUGUCGCGUCUGCCGUGAAAGUCCGGGGCUCAACUCCGGAUCUGCGGUGGGUACGGGCAGACUAGAGUGAUGUAGGGGAGACUGGAAUUCCUGGUGUAGCGGUGAAAUGCGCAGAUAUCAGGAGGAACACCGAUGGCGAAGGCAGUUCUCUGGGCCGUAACUGACGCUGAGGAGCGAAAGCGUGGGGAGCGAACAGG
rnacentral:rRNA from 1 species